rnacentral:rRNA from 1 species
GCAUAACGCGAAGAACCUUACCAGGUCUUGACAUCCCUCUGACCGGUCCGUAACGGGACCUUUCCUUCGGGACAGAGGAGACAGGUGGUGCAUGGUUGUCGUCAGCUCGUGUCGUGAGAUGUUGGGUUAAGUCCCGCAACGAGCGCAACCCCUAUCCUUAGUAGCCAGCAGUUCGGCUGGGCACUCUAGGGAGACUGCCAGGGAUAACCUGGAGGAAGGCGGGGAUGACGUCAAAUCAUCAUGCCCCUUAUGAUCUGGGCUACACACGUGCUACAAUGGUGACUACAAAGGGAAGCAACCCCGCGAGGGUAAGCAAAUCCCAAAAAGGUCAUCCCAGUUCGGAUUGUAGUCUGCAACUCGACUACAUGAAGCUGGAAUCGCUAGUAAUCGCGAAUCAGCACGUCGCAGUGAAUGCGUUCCCGGGUCUUGUACACACCG